AAUUGUGGUAGUUUUUUUUCGUGGCACAUUUGUUAAGUUUUCAAAUGGGCUUGACUCUGCCAUAUAUAUUAUAUAGGAGCUGGCAAGGCUAGAAGACAGAGCAUGCUCUCUAACUUUUCCCAUGUCCAGUUUGGAUCCCACAGAG